GGACAGUGUACGUGAAAGUGUGGCCCAACAAAUCAGUGAAUAAAACAGAAACAUUCCAUACCCUUUACUGCAACUGGAAGCUAUAAAUUCUAUAAAGACACAGCUGUGGCUUUGUUGCAGGUUUCAAGUAGUUGGCUACUGUGCAGGUAUGCUCCCUCAGGAUCACAUCUGAAACCAAAAUAUAAAUCAAAAUAUUGUAAUUCAAUCACUAGGUUUCCUCCAUUCCAUCUCUUAAAAGAUGUCAAAACCACCACCCUUGCCUUAAGCAUUUUUCAUGCCAUUCUAUAAAUUCGCCGAAUGUACUUUCGUCUGAACGCACAUAAACUGUUCCUUUAAAUCAAAUGAGAAACUACAAAUAACAUUAAACCUCAUUCCAGAUUCAGAUUCAAUUGCAGAUUCAGAUUACAGUUAAAUUUAGAUUUAUUUCAUGAAAUGCUUUGGAUUAACAUGAUUAACAUGCUGUGUUCUUUCUGCAGAUCAAGAAGACUUUUUUCCAUUUGAGAACACAAUAUUUCUGACCAGGUACAUGAAGAACCUACAGCAAAAAACACAACACAAUUCAAGCAUUUCCUGCUUAUAAAAGGCGAAUACAGAUGUCAGGAAAGACCCCUCUUCUAUGAACUGUUCCUGGCAAAUAAUGUGAUCAAAUGGCCAUCUAUAGAAUAUUCAUGAAGAUAUGACGACAGGCAUUUGAACAUAUUUCAAGAAGAACAAUGAGUAAUAAAUAUCAAAGGACAGUUCCUAUUUUAAGCAAAUUGCCGGUUACCAAUGAGUUCCGUGAACUAUGGAUCCUAACAGAGAAUGGAAUUUCAGAAUGAAAAACACAGCAAGAAAAUAAAUGCUGACCACCACACAGCCUGAGUGUCUGGAUGCCAGGGAUACUCUGAAACAGAUAUUUUGAGAUCUUCCUUGGUAUAUCAAACAGAGAAGCUCCAAAAGAGUCUAAUUAUGUUAAAUCAUCCUAUCCUAUGUGGAUACAGAGAUAGGAGCAAAAACGACCUUCUGCCACUCUGUUUUGCAGACCUGAUGCUGCUUUUUCCUUUGCUGAAAAUUUGCAUGUUUUCUCAGAGCCUGUUUCUUUCUCACAAUAAACAAUGCAAAGCCUUCCUGCCAAAAAAAUGUCCAAAUGCUAAA